CCGUGCUGGGCGCUGCGGCAGGCAGAGCAGCUGCUGUGGCAGGCAGCAGAGGCAAAAUGGCUCUUGCUGUCCUUCUGGCAGCAAUCCUGGGACUUCUUAUUGUCAAGGCUGUUUUGUUUCAGCUGAGAAACCCGAGCUCCCCUCCUUGCAUCGGGAGCUGGAUCCCUUGGUUUGGAGCUGCGUUUCAGUUCGGGAAAGCUCCUCUGGAGUUUAUAGAGCGAGCUAGAAGCAAGGUAAUGGCUGUGGUGGCGUGCCUGCUUGUGGGUGUGUGCUCAGGGUGGCUGCCUGCAAGGGGAAAGCAUGGACCUGUAUUCACAAUAUUCGCUUUGGGAAAACGGUUUACUUUUGUGACUGAGGAGGAAGGAACGGAAGCAUUUUUUAAAUCUAAAAACUUAAAUUUUGAACAGGCAGUACAACAAGCUGUUGAGAAUGCAGUUUCUGUCCCUGCAGAAGCAUUUUAUCAGAACCAUGGUAACCUCUACAGCAUGAUGAAGGGAAAAAUGGGUCCUUCUAAUCUGCACAUGUUCACAGGCACUUUGUGUAAGGAACUACAUGAGCACAUGGCACAUCUGGGCACGGAGGGUACUGGUGACCUCAAUGACCUGGUAAGGCAUGUCAUGUAUCCAGCGGUGGUGAACACAUUGUUUGGAAAAGGCAUCUGCCCGACAAGUCAGAGUGAAAUCAAGGAGUUUGAAGAACAUUUUCAGAAGUAUGAUGAGGACUUUGAAUAUGCUUCUCAGAUGCCCGAGUGCUUCCUGAGGAACUGGUCUAAAUCCAAAAAAUGGCUUCUAAAAUUAUUUGAGAAAGUAGUGUCAGAUGCUGAAAGGACCAACCCUUCGGAUACCACAUCCAAGACACUACUGCAACAUCUCCUGGAUAACUUGCAAGAAAAACAUCUCGCUCCUAAUUAUGGUCUCCUCAUGCUCUGGGCUUCCCAGGCAAAUGCUGUCCCUAUUGCAUUUUGGACCCUUGUUUUCAUACUCUCUUGCCCUUCCAUUUACAAGAAAAUCAUGGAAGACCUGGCUUCUGUUUUUGACAAAGCAGGUAAAGAUAAAAUAGAAGUCUCUGAAGAGGACCUUAAGAAGCUCCCUUUUAUUAAAUGGUGCACUUUGGAAGCCAUACGGCUGAGGUCUCCAGGUGCAAUCACCAAGAAAGUAGUAAACCCGAUAAGAAUUCAGAAUUUCACCGUCCCUGCAGGUGACAUGCUGAUGUUGUCGCCAUAUUGGUUGCACAGGAAUCCAAAAUAUUUUCCUGACCCAGAUAUGUUCAAACCUGAUCGUUGGAAAGAGGCAAAUUUAGAGAAGAAUGCUUUCUUGGACAGCUUUGUGGCAUUCGGAGGAGGGAAGCAUCAGUGUCCAGGAAGGUGGUUUGCUAUCAUGGAAAUCCAGUUGUUCGUUGUGCUAUUUCUAUACAAAUACGAAUUUGUGCUUUUGGAUGCAGUACCAAAAGAGAGCCCUUUACAUUUGGUGGGGACACAGCAACCCAUGGCACCAUGCCGCGUCCAGUAUAAAUGCCGGGACUGAAAGCUGCCCAGCACUAACCUGCCUUCUUUUGCCAGCCACCCCUGGAUGGAUGGACCACUGAGCUGCUUUCCCUGUCCUACAUUUUCAGAUAGGCAACUCAGAAGUGGAUGGAAAAUGCAAAGACUCUUUGUUCCUGUUCUCAUUGCCUUAAAAGACACAAGCCUCCUGUUCGACCUCUGUCUGACCCUGAAGAUGCUCAAAACCAAUGGGGAUAUACCUGAGAGAGGGUUUAGGGAGCAGCAGAGCCAAAUGCAGGGGCUGUUCCACUGCAAGGCUGUGAGUUCUGGGGUUCCCGGAGUGGUGCCACAGGUUCUCCUCUCUUGCCUGACCCCCACAUAACAGAUUCGGAGAGAACCAGCAUCCCUGUGCAUAGCUGAAGCAUGUGCUUCUCUGCAUCUCCAAACCCCUGACGAAGGGAACAGCCCUGCUCCACGACCAACCUGCUCAUGGAGUAUCACAUGCAGGAGUGUUACGGGCACUGGAAUUUUACAGCAAGUGAAGGAUACUCUCCUUUUCUGCAGCAAUUUUUCAUUGGUGUAAUUAUUAAUCUUGCACCCAGAACUGUGAAAAAUGAUCUGUAGAUAAAUGAAAAAACAAAACAAAACAAAACAAAAACAAGAUGAUCUUUCCUUUGCAUAUUUUUAUUUAAACAUCUGCAAUACGUUGUAUCUAAGCUGCUUUGCAGUUGCUAUACACAUACAGGAUGGAACUGAAGAGGUGUUGUGGCAAUGUUGUCUCACUGUACUGAGUGACUGGGUGAUAAAAUAGCAGAUGAAAUUCAGUGGUGAUAAGUGCAAAGUAAUGCACAUGGGAAAAAAUAACCCUAAUUAUACAUAUAUAGACACUGUUUCCAGCUAUCACUUUUGCUGCAGGAGAUCUGGAGGCUGAAGUGAAAAGUUCUCUGAAAAUGUUAGUGUGGGGCUGGGAAGUGGUCAAAAAGGGGAACUGAAUGUUAAGAAUUAGUAGCUCCCACCUUAGAUGACAAGUGAGCCCCCAAAGUCAUAGGACUCUAUCGCUCAUAUGCUCAGGGUUCUGAGUUCCUUGGCCAUACAGCUCUUGCCUAUUCCAGAUCCACUGAAUAGUUGUUUUAGUAGAACCAAAGUUUUAAAGAAAGUAGUGUUUUCUAGUAAAAUUAGAAAGGAUAGAGAGGGUGGUGAUAAAGUUUUACAGUGGAAAUAGAGAAAAACCCAUCAGCUUGAAAGAGGGAUAGUCGAAGGGAAAUCCAAUUAAAGUCUGGAAAAUAAUGAUGGUGAGAAGGUCAGACAAGAAAUUUCAUUUACUGCCUCUAUAACAAAGGAACACUUAAUAAAACAAUCAGGAAGAAGACCUUAAAUUGUUUUUACACAGUGAAGAACUACCACAGCAUGGCACAUUGUAGGAAGCAAAACAACAAACAGGCUCAAAAAGAGUUAAGACAAACUCUUAGAGAAAAGGACCACUGGCAGCUACUAAGCCUAUUACCUUGGAUACAACCCUGAGUUCCAGAAGUCCCUACCUCACUAGUUUAUAGGUAAAUAGGAGAAGAAUACAUGUUCUAUUUUCACACUGUUUUACUAAACAUCCAGUCUUGGCAGCUGGAGACAAGAUAUAGUGCUAGAUGGAUCCAACUGUGGUUUUAUGUUCUAAAAAAGUAACAGAAACAAUCAAGGAUAUGUUAAUGCUGAUAGAGUCAACAUUAAUUUUAAUUGCUUUACCCACUCUAAUCUCCAGAUUCAGCCAUUUGCAAGAAAUCAUAAUCCAUAUCUGGCCAAAGAAUUUGGGAUUAUCCCUGUGAGCAGAAAUGUAAAAGAAGCAGCAUUUGCUUCUUGAGAAUCUACAAAUUUUGAGUCAUUACUUACUCAUUUAUUCUGAAAAGAGAAAACUUUGUCACCACAGCUCCUGCAAAGGCUGAGGGAGUGAGUCAAUGUUUGUAUUUUGAUGAUCAGAAAUCAGCAUAACAUAAGGGGCCAAAGCCUUUUGGUUACAGUACUGUUGUUGUGUUAAAAUUCACCGUGGCUGCUUUAGUGCAUUUGAGAGGCUGCUUUUGCUUACAGAUUAAAUCUGUAGAUAAGAAGCAGGUGCAGACUGGAGAAGAUGAGCAGCUCAGGAUUUGGAUGAGAUGGGCUAAGCCUGUGCUCUGAGAUAUCAGUAACAAAACUCCCACUCAGUUCUGUGGGAGCAGGACAACAGCACUGCUUGCAAAUCUUGCAAGUAGCAGCUGUUUUAUCACCUCCUUUGGUAUCCUUUCCAGAAUUUCAGCUUCCUCCAGGUUUUGGCACUCUACAACUACUUGGGUUGUGGGAAGGUGCCCACAGCAUUUAGGAAGCACAGGGUGCCUACUCAGGCUGCAUGGCCUGAACAGCACUGGGGCCUAAGUGCGUAAACGGUGUGACUCCAAGAAGGAUGUUUGCUCAGUUGCUCUUACUCUCUUAUUUUUCCAGUGCCACAUUUCCAUGUCUAAGUAAUUUAUUAUCCUGUUACC